rnacentral:rRNA from 1 species
GGGACACGUGGUAUCCUGUCUGAAUAUGGGGGGACCAUCCUCCAAGGCUAAAUACUCCUGACUGACCGAUAGUGAACCAGUACCGUGAGGGAAAGGCGAAAAGAACCCCGGCGAGGGGAGUGAAAAAGAACCUGAAACCGUGUACGUACAAGCAGUGGGAGCCUCUUAAUGGGGUGACUGCGUACCUUUUGUAUAAUGGGUCAGCGACUUAUAUUCUGUAGCAAGGUUAACCGAAUAGGGGAGCCGAAGGGAAACCGAGUCUUAACUGGGCGUUAAGUUGCAGGGUAUAGACCCGAAACCCGGUGAUCUAGCCAUGGGCAGGUUGAAGGUUGGGUAACACUAACUGGAGGACCGAACCGACUAAUGUUGAAAAAUUAGCGGAUGACUUGUGGCUGGGGGUGAAAGGCCAAUCAAACCGGGAGAUAGCUGGUUCUCCCCGAAAGCUAUUUAGGUAGCGCCUCGUGAAUUCAUCUCCGGGGGUAGAGCACUGUUUCGGCAAGGGGGUCAUCCCGACUUACCAACCCGAUGCAAACUGCGAAUACCGGAGAAUGUUAUCACGGGAGACACACGGCGGGUGCUAACGUCCGUCGUGAAGAGGGAAACAACCCAGACCGCCAGCUAAGGUCCCAAAGUCAUGGUUAAGUGGGAAACGAUGUGGGAAGGCCCAGACAGCCAGGAUGUUGGCUUAGAAGCAGCCAUCAUUUAAAGAAAGCGUAAUAGCUCACUGGUCGAGUCGGCCUGCGCGGAAGAUGUAACGGGGCUAAACCAUGCACCGAAGCUGCGGCAGCGACACUAUGUGUUGUUGGGUAGGGGAGCGUUCUGUAAGCCUGUGAAGGUGUACUGUGAGGUAUGCUGGAGGUAUCAGAAGUGCGAAUGCUGACAUAAGUAACGAUAAAGCGGGUGAAAAGCCCGCUCGCCGGAAGACCAAGGGUUCCUGUCCAACGUUAAUCGGGGCAGGGUGAGUCGACCCCUAAGGCGAGGCCGAAAGGCGUAGUCGAUGGGAAACAGGUUAAUAUUCCUGUACUUGGUGUUACUGCGAAGGGGGGACGGAGAAGGCUAUGUUGGCCGGGCGACGGUUGUCCCGGUUUAAGCGUGUAGGCUGGUUUUCCAGGCAAAUCCGGAAAAUCAAGGCUGAGGCGUGAUGACGAGGCACUACGGUGCUGAAGCGACAAAUGCCCUGCUUCCAGGAAAAGCCUCUAAGCAUCAGGUAACAUCAAAUCGUACCCCAAACCGACACAGGUGGUCAGGUAGAGAAUACCAAGGCGCUUGAGAGAACUCGGGUGAAGGAACUAGGCAAAAUGGUGCCGUAACUUCGGGAGAAGGCACGCUGAUAUGUAGGUGAAGCGACUUGCUCGUGGAGCUGAAAUCAGUCGAAGAUACCAGCUGGCUGCAACUGUUUAUUAAAAACACAGCACUGUGCAAACACGAAAGUGGACGUAUACGGUGUGACGCCUGCCCGGUGCCGGAAGGUUAAUUGAUGGGGUUAGCGGUAACGCGAAGCUCUUGAUCGAAGCCCCGGUAAACGGCGGCCGUAACUAUAACGGUCCUAAGGUAGCGAAAUUCCUUGUCGGGUAAGUUCCGACCUGCACGAAUGGCGUAAUGAUGGCCAGGCUGUCUCCACCCGAGACUCAGUGAAAUUG